rnacentral:rRNA from 1 species
CCUUGAGAGUGGCGAACGGGUGAGUAAUAUAUCGGAACGUGCCCAGUCGUGGGGGAUAACGUAGCGAAAGUUACGCUAAUACCGCAUACGAUCUAUGGAUGAAAGCGGGGGACCUUCGGGCCUCGCGCGAUUGGAGCGGCCGAUGUUAGAUUAGGUAGUUGGUGGGGUAAAGGCUCACCAAGCCUACGAUCUAUAGCUGGUCUGAGAGGACGACCAGCCACACUGGGACUGAGACACGGCCCAGACUCC